rnacentral:rRNA from 1 species
AGAGCGGGAGCCCGGAGAUGGGCACUGAGACAAGGGCCCAGGCCCUACGGGGCGCAGCAGUCGCAAAAACUCCGCAAUGCGCGAAAGCGUGACGGGGCUACCCCGAGUGCCGUCCGCUGAGGAUGGCUUUUUCCUGGUGUAAUGAGCCGGGGGAAUAAGGAGAGGGCAAGACUGGUGUCAGCCGCCGCGGUAAUACCAGCUCUCCGAGUGGUAGGGACGAUUAUUGGGCUUAAAGCGUCCGUAGCCGGCUUAGCAAGUCUUCUGUUAAAUUCAGCGACCCAAUCGUUGAGCCGCGGAAGAUACUGUUAGGCUAGGAGGCGGAAGAGGCCGACGGUAUUCUCGGGGUAGGGGUGAAAUCCUAUAAUCCCGGGAGGACCACCAGUGGCGAAGGCUGUCGGCU